GGUGGAACUCUCACAUUGACUUUAAGGACAGCAAGACCUGGGAUCCUUCUUCAACCUUCUAGCUGGUUGACUUUAGAGAACGUAGAAGAUUUUCAUUUCUACAGGCCACCACCCUUUGUUUGCAAUCAUCAUUAGCAUUUGCCAUUGGCACAUCAACAGUCCAUUACGAUUCUCAAAUUGGAGCUCACUUCACUUCCAUUUUGACCAACUCCAUGGUGGGCUGUAGGAGUCUCAUCGGCACAUUGGAAAAAAGAGGCCUCAAGUGGGGAAGGCUGCCUACUUCAUAGCUGUUCCAGGACAAAGCCAGAGCCCAGCCCCAAUGCACGGAGAGUCUCAGGCAGGGUUCUGAGUGACCUGGCUGAUCCUGAAGCUGGAGCUGAUACCGGAGCCAGCUCCAAGUGGAUUAUCUGGGACUGGCCUUGACUGUGCUGCAGAGUGGCCUGUGGGUGGACACUCUCUGAGCACCUGGAUCUGAUGCAAACAUUGACAUCGGCAGAAUCAUCUUGACCAAGUGGGGUGAGGGCAGGGCAGGGCAGGGCGGGGCUGAAGGGACAGGCCUUGCAUACCAUCCAGGUACACCCAGGGAUCUGGAAUCCCAGGGGCUUGCCCAAAUUUUAUCCCCUGGAUACAUUACUCCCCUCUGGGGCUACUACAUAGGCCCCUUUUGGGAGGGUCCCUGAGAGUGAGGAAAGGGCAGUAAUGGUCAGAGCCCCUACGCCUCCAGAAGGCAGCCUAUCAUGUGGGGAAUUUCCUUCAAAGGCCAGGAAAUCAUAACCGCUGCUGAGCACAGGUUGUAUGCCAGGCCCACCCAGCACUUGCCUGGCAUUUUCCGUGGGUCCUCAGAAGCAGACAGACCUCCAGCUUCAGAGCCAUCAGGACCAGGAUAGUGGGAGAUGGCUCCGGCCUGGAACUUCCCACUGCUCAGGGCUGCAACAGAGGUGGUGGGGACAGGAACGCAGGGAGAAUAGGAGCUGUUGUCUGAGAGGGACAGGGGUUUAGCUUUGCUUCCCUUCAUUUGUUACUAAAGAAAAGAAAAUAAUCUGACUUUAAACUAACAAAUACAGUACGCCAGCUGCAGGCCAGACUGCCCACGUGUGAAACCUAGAAAAAACCUUGAGUUCAUCUGUCUAAACAUGGAGAAACUGAGGCCCACAGACAUGACAGGACUGGCCCGACUUGAUGAACCAGGACUUUAAUAUAGGUGUCUCUGCUCCUUGUGUAUCGUAAUUUCCAUCCAGGAAGGGAGGGGCUGUUAUCCUAAAGGUGUCAGACUUCAGGUAACGAGGACCUGCACCCUCCUCUUCCUCACACUUCAUGUACCACCUCUUGCCCACAACCCCAUUCAGAAUGAGUCACCCAAGCAUUAACAGUAAAUAAAGGUACUGUCUCUGGGUGGCCAAUUUUCUCUUUCCAAAAGGACUCUAUGAUGACAGAAUCCAAACAAAAAUCCUCACUUAAACGAAAAUGAAGACUUACAUCUGCUAUGAAGCACCACAGAGUCUUGUUUGUAACUCAUGGAUGAUUUCAUGUGGUUUGGAUAAUGGUUUGCAUACUUGGGUCUGUCUGGCCCACCAGACUGUAAUCCCCUCGAGGGCCAGAAAGGAGUCUUGUUCUGCACUGAGUUUUCCUGGUGCCUGCUCGCAGCAGAUGCUUAAUAAAUGUUUGUUGAAUUAAAAUGGAAAAUGACUGGUGCCCGGGUGGCUCAAAUGGUUUAACAUCCGACCCUUGAUUUCUACUCAGGUCGAAAAUGUCAAUAAAGAGGAGGAAGCUGUUACCAUCGACAUGAAUGAGGCAGUUCAGCUAACUUUUGCACUUGGGAUACUUGAACUUCUUUCCAAAAGCCACUCCACUCUCUCCUACAGUAACACUCAGUAUGUCUGCAGAGGUACCCUUUGUUGUAGAGUAUAAAAUUGCUGAUAGGAGACAUUUAAAGUACUAUUUGGCUCCCAAGAUCAAGGAUGAAGAAGGAUCUUAGACAUUCUUAAAAUCCAAGAAAAUAAAAUUAAGCUCUUGAGAAAUGCUUCUGAGAUGCCAGCAUGUACUUAAGUCUCUUCUGUCACCAAAUUUGUUCCUCUCUGUACAUAUUAGAUAUUUUCUGUAAAUAACCUAUU